rnacentral:rRNA from 1 species
GAUGAACGCUGGCGGCGUGCCUAACACAUGCAAGUCGAACGAUGAAGCUCAGCUUGCUGGGUGGAGUAGUUGCCAACGGGUGAGUAACACGUAAGUAACUUGCCCUCAACUCUGGGAUAAGCCUGGUAGAGUAGGCCGAAUACCUGCUAGAAGCUCCUACCGCAUGGUGGGUGCUGGAGAGAUUUAUCGGUUUUGGGUGGCUUCUCGGCCUAUCAGCUUUUUGGUGACGUAAUGGCUAACUAAGGCCACGCCGGGUAGCCGGCCUGUGAGGGGGACCGGCCACACUGGGACUAAGAGACGGCCCAGACUCCUACGGGAGGCAGCAGUCGGGAAUAUUGCACAGUGGGCGAGAGCCUGAUGCAGCGACGCCGCGUGAGGGAUGACGGCCUUCGGGUUGUAAACCUCUUUCAGUAGGGAAGAAGCGAAAGUGACGGUACCUGCAGAAGAAGCACCGGCUAACUACGUG